rnacentral:rRNA from 1 species
UACGUAGGGAGCAAGCGUUGUCCGGAAUCAUUGGGCGUAAAGCGCGCGUAGGUGGCUUCGUAAGUCCGUUGUGAAAGUCAAAGGCUCAACCUUUGAAAGCCGAUGGAUACUGCGGAGCUAGAGUACGGGAGAGGCGAGUGGAAUUCCUGGUGUAGCGGUGGAAUGCGCAGAUAUCAGGAGGAACACCAAUAGCGAAGGCAGCUCGCUGGGACGUUACUGACACUGAGGCGCGAAAGCGUGGGGAGCGAACAGG